CAACUCUUCUCUUCGUUUCAUACUUUCAUUUCUGGCGACGGCCUUCUUGCUUUCCGGCGGUGUGCUGCGCUCCUGCUCCCGCCUCCCGGUGGUGCGGCGCUCAUACUGGCUGUGGCUGCUGCUGGCGGGUCUCGGCCUUGGGGCUCGGGCUCGCGCCUCACGGCCACGGGACGUGGCAUCGCGCGCGUCCGCGGCGAGCGGAGGGCGGCCGCGGCAAGCCACGAGCGUCCGCAGAGUCGGCGAGCUCCACGUCCACAGUGAGCGCGGAUCCAGCGUGCGGCGGGCGUACGUGCCUCCGUGGAGCGUGGAUCUAGGCCCCAAGCGUUCAGCAGUCAGCACUUCCCUUCCUCUUUCUAUGGCGGCAGGAAGAAGACCUUGGUUGUUGCUUCUUUGUUGACAUGUAGAUUUGCUACGCUUGUGAUGUGCGGUGCUUCGCUAGCACGUAUGGCUGCAGCACCCGUUGCUAUGUACUACAAUGUGUUCAGGUUUCUUACAGUUGUCUUGACCAUCCAGCUUCCUUGCUGCGGAAUAAGGUUAUUGCAUGACAUUGCAAUUAUUUUCUUCCACAUGCCACCCCCUGGAAACCUUGCCUCCACACUGAUAAUCAUGUUUGAGUGGAUCCUUUCAGUCUUGGUUUUAGCUGCCAGCUGUUCCGCGCUGGGAGUUGAGGUGUACAUGGACAAGGACACAGGUGCUUGCAUGUUCAUGCAACCACAGCCAUGUAGGUGGUACAAGGAGGCAGCCAUGCUGGGCUUGCUAGCAGGGGUCUUUAGCUAUACCAUCUCUUUGCUCCUGUUCUGUCUCCAGUCUUCUCGGCACACCCAACCUCCUGCCCCAGCCCCCGCUCAUGGCCACGACCAAGGCUAGGUACAGAGUCAUCCAAGGCAUGCUCAGAAACUGCCAUGAAGACAACGCUAAUUUGAAAUGAACCGGUCAAGGUAGCUUAGGUAGUUAGUAUGUUUGGUGAAAUUAGUAUGUUUUUUUUUUGAAAGGAUCACCGGGGGGGGUGAGCGCCCCACCUGAAUAAUUCCAUUGAUGCCGGCAAGCCGGUGUACGGAAUGGUUUACAAAGUAGCCUUACAAUUUGGUUUACAUGAAAAAAGUUACAGGAGAAUUAAGGAGGGAAAACGGAGCUCCAGUGA